rnacentral:rRNA from 1 species
AUUGAACGCUGGCGGCAGGCCUAACACAUGCAAGUCGAGCGGAUGAAGGUAGCUUGCUCCUGGAUUCAGCGGCGGACGGGUGAGUAAUGCCUAGGAAUCUGCCUUGUAGUGGGGGAUUACGUCCGGAAACGGGCGCUAAUACCGCAUUCGUCCUGAGGGCGAAAGUGGGGGUUCUUCGGACCUCACGCGAUCAGGUUAUCCUAGGUCGGAUUAGCUAGCUGGUUGGGUAAAGGGCUACCGAGGCGACGAGCCGUUACUGGUCUGAGAGGAUGAUCAGUCACACUGGAACUGAGACAGGGUCCAGACUCCUGCGAGAGGCAGCAGUGGGGAAUGUUGGACAAUGGGCGGAAGCCUGAUCCAGCCAUGCCGCGUGUGUGACGAAGGUCUUCGGAUUGUAAAGCACUUUAAGUUGGGAGAAACGGCAGUAAGUUAAUACGUUGCUGUUUUGACGUUACCAACAGAAUAAGCGCCGGCUAACUACGUG